CUUCUCCUAUUAUGACACUUCCUAAAGAUUGCAACUUGUUUCACACCUAAGUUCAUGACUUUUAAGGGUUUCUCCAACAAAGGGUUUUGGAGAAUAUUAAAGGUAGGAAAUUGGAGCUUUUGGAAGGAGAAGAAGCUCAAGGCAAGGAAGAACUUGAGGAGCUAGGAGUCUAGGUUAAUUCGACGUGUUGGGAGACUCGGAUCGAAGUUCCGACGAGUAUAUGGCGAAAUAUUGAGGAAAAACCUCAUUUCACUUUCGUUAGUCGUGGGUCGAGACAAAUAGGCGUCUAAAAAUUGCGGGACUUGGAUUCUCACAUUUCGGCAUCCCUACGAGGUGUGUGGUGCUAUCUGAAAUCUCCGAAUUUCUCAUUAUGUCUAUAUCACCUCUUUGAGCAUGUUUGUAUGUGUAUAGUGUUGACUUCAUGCAUUGUAGGGUUAAUGUGAUAUGUGGCUAAGAUAUUAGACUUUUUGUAUGCUUUCAAUGUAAGAAUACAUGUGAAAUGACAAAGGACCAUGAACUUAG